AUAACAACUCUCAGCAACGGAUAUCUUGGCUCUUGCAACGAUGAAGAACGCAGCGAAAUGCGAUACCUAGUGUGAAUUGCAGAAUUCCGCGAAUCAUCGAGUCUUUGAACGCAAGUUGCGCCCGAGGCUUGUCCGAGGGCAUUUCCGCUAGAGCGUCACC
rnacentral:rRNA from 1 species